ensembl:lncRNA
UCAGAUGUACUGGUAUAGAUAUCACCACCCAGUCAGAUGUACUGGUAUAGAUAUCACCACCCAGUCAGAUGUACUGGUAUAGAUAUCACCACCCAGUCAGAUGUACUGGUAUAGAUAUCACCACCCAGUCAGAUGUACUGGUAUAGAUAUCACCACCCAGUCAGAUGUACUGGUAUAGACAUCACCACUGUCAGAUGUACUGGUAUAGAUAUCACCACCCAAUCAGAUGAUAUAGAUAUCACCACCCAGUCAGAUGAUAUAGAUAUCACCACCAACCCAGUCAGAUGUACUGGUAUAGAUAUCACCACCCAAUCAGAUGAUAUAGAUAUCACCACCCAGUCAGAUGAUAUAGAUAUCACCACCAACCCAGUCAGAUGUACUGGUAUAGAUAUCACCACCCAGUCAGAUGAUAUAGAUAUCACCACCAACCCAGUCAGAUGUACUGGUAUAGAUAUCACCACCCAGUCAGAUGGUAUAGAUAUCACCACCAACCCAGUCAGAUGGUAUAGAUAUCACCACCCAGUCAGAUGUACUGGUAUAGAUAUCACAACCCAGUCAGAUGGUAUAGAUAUCACCACCCAUUCAGAUAUACUGGUAUAGAUAUCACCACCCAGUCAGAUGGUAUAGAUAUCACCACCCAGUCAGAUGUACUGGUAUAGAUAUCACCACCCAGUCAGAUAUACUGGUAUAGAUAUCACCACCCAGUCAGAUGUACUGGUAUAGAUAUCACCACCCAGUCAGAUGAUAUAGAUAUCAUCACCCAGUCAGAUGGUAUAGAUAUCACCACCCAGUCAGAUAUACUGAUAUAGAUAUCACCACCCAUUCAGAUAUACUGGUAUAGAUAUCACCACCCAGUAAGAUGGUAUAGAUAUCACCACCCAGUCAGAUAUACUGGUAUAGAUAUCACCACCCAGUCAGAUGGUAUAGAUAUCACCACCCAGUCAGAUGUACUGGUAUAGAUAUCACCACCCAGUCAGAUAUACUGGUAUAGAUAUCACCACCCAGUCAGAUGUACUGGUAUAGAUAUCACCACCCAGUCAGAUAUACUGGUAUAGAUAUCACCACCCAGUCAGAUGUACUGGUAUAGAUAUCACCACCCAGUCAGAUGGUAUAGAUAUCACCACCCAGUCAGAUGUACUGGUAUAGAUAUCACCACCCAGUCAGAUGUACUGGUAUAGAUAUCACAACCCAGUCAGAUGUACUGGUAUAGAUAUCACCACCCAGUCAGAUGUACUGGUAUAGAUAUCACAACCCAGUCAGGGGGGCAGUAGGGGGCAGUAGGGGCAG